GGCGCGGUAGCGAAGUGGUCAAACGCAGUUGACUGUAAAUCAACCGGCAUACGCCUUCGGGG
rnacentral:tRNA from 1 species